rnacentral:rRNA from 1 species
AACGUAGGUGGCAAGCGUUAUCCGGAUUUACUGGGCGUAAAGGGUGUGCAGGCGGGGUUGCAAGUGGUGUAUGAAAUCUCCCGGCUUAACCGGGAGGGGUUAUGCCAGACUGCAAUUCUAGAGGACGAGAGAGGGAUGCAGAAUUCCAGGUGUAGCGGUGAAAUGCGUAGAUAUCUGGAGGAAUACCGGUGGCGAAGGCGGCAUCCUGGACCGGCAUUGACGCUGAUGAGCGAAAGCUAGGGGAGCAAACGGG